rnacentral:rRNA from 1 species
UUGCCAGACUCCUACGGGAGGCAGCAGUGAGGAAUAUUGGUCAAUGGCCGAGAGGCUGAACCAGCCAAGUCGCGUGAGGGAAGACGGCCCUACGGGUUGUAAACCUCUUUUGUCGGGGAGCAAAGCGAACCACGUGUGGUUCAUUGAGAGUACCCGGAGAAAAAGCAUCGGCUAACUCCGUGCCAGCAGCCGCGGUAAUACGGAGGAUGCGAGCGUUAUCCGGAUUUAUUGGGUUUAAAGGGUGCGUAGGCGGAAUAUCAAGUCAGCGGUAAAAAUUCGGGGCUCAACCCCGUCGUGCCGUUGAAACUGAUGUUCUUGAGUGGGCGAGAAGUAUGCGGAAUGCGUGGUGUAGCGGUGAAAUGCAUAGAUAUCACGCAGAACUCCGAUUGCGAAGGCAGCAUACCGGCGCCCAACUGACGCUGAAGCACGAAAGCGUGGGUAUCGAACAGGAUUAGAUACCCCGGUA